rnacentral:rRNA from 1 species
GACGGAGGAUGCGAGUGUUAUCCGGAAUCACUGGGCGUAAAGCGUCUGUAGGUGGUUUAAAAAGUCCACUGUUAAAGGUUGAAGCUUAACUUCAAAAAUGCUGUGGAAACUUUUAAACUAGAGUAUGGUAGGGGUAGAGGGAAUUUCCAGUGGAGCGGUGGAAUGCGUAGAUAUUGGAAAGACCACCAAUGGCGAAGGCACUCUACUGGGCCAUCACUGACACUGAGAGACGAAAGCUAGGGGAGCGAAUGGG